GGCGCCCUGUGGCCGACUGGUAACGCUUUUGCCUUUCACUCAACAAGUCCCGGGUUCGAACCCACCCGGCGCCA